UACGAGGGGGGCAAGCGUUACUGAGAAUCACUGGGUUUAAAGGGUGCGUAGGUGGCGCGUUAAGUCCGUUGUGAAAUCCCUUGGCUCAACCAAGGAACUGCUUCGGAUACUGGCGUGCUUGAGGCUAGUAGGGGUCACUGGAACUGACGGUGGAGCGGUGAAAUGCGUAGAUAUCGUCAGGAACGCCGAUGGUGAAGACAGGUGACUGGGCUAGUUCUGACACUGAGGCACGAAAGCGUGGGGAGCGAACGGG
rnacentral:rRNA from 1 species